rnacentral:rRNA from 1 species
UACGAAGGGGGCUAGCGUUGUUCGGAUUUACUGGGCGUAAAGCGCACGUAGGCGGAUCGAUCAGUCAGGGGUGAAAUCCCAGAGCUCAACUCUGGAACUGCCUUUGAUACUGUCGAUCUGGAGUAUGGAAGAGGUGAGUGGAAUUCCGAGUGUAGAGGUGAAAUUCGUAGAUAUUCGGAGGAACACCAGUGGCGAAGGCGGCUCACUGGUCCAUUACUGACGCUGAGGUGCGAAAGCGUGGGGAGCAAAUAGG